UUAAGCUAAUAAGAGCAUAUGGUGGAUGCCUUGGCACCAAGCGCCGAAGAAGGACGUGGUAAGCUGCGAAAAGCUACGGGGAGCCGCAAACAGGCCUAUGAUCCGUAGAUAUCCGAAUGUGGAAACACACUUUAUGGAAACAUAGAGUAGGCACGCAUGAAUAGAUAGUGCGUAGCCGGGGAACCCGGGGAACUGAAACAUCUAAUUACCCGGAGGAAAAGAAAGUAAAACAACGAUUGCGUAAGUAGUGGCGAGCGAACGCGCAAGAGCCUAAACCAAGCGAUGAAAAUCGUUUGGGGUUUUGGACUCACGAAAAGCACAUAACAACUGUAGUUGAAGCUGCUGUGGGAAACAGCGCCAGAGAGGGUAAAAGCCCCGUAAGCGAAACGGUUGUUAUAGCGAGUGAUGAUCCGGAGUACCGUCGAGCACGAGAAAUUCGGCGGGAAUAAGGGAGGCCCAUCUCCUAAGGCUAAAUACGACUUGGUGACCGAUAGCGUAUAGUACCGUGAGGGAAAGGUGAAAAGAACCCCGGGAGGGGAGUGAAAGAGAACCUGAAACCGUAUGCUUACAAGCAGAGAGAGCACUACGCCGGCAACGGCAGGUGUGAUCUCGUACUUUUUGUAGAACGGGCCGGCGAGUUACGAUGUGUUGCGAGGUUAAGUAUCUAAGAUACGGAGCCGAAGCGAAAGCGAGUCUGAAAAGGGCGCCUUUAGUAGCAUGUUGUAGACCCGAAACCUGGUGACCUAACCAUGAGCAGGUUGAAGCAGGAGUAAAAUCUUGUGGAGGACCGAACGCACGCCUGUUGAAAUAGUCGGCGAUGACUUGUGGUUAGCGGAGAAAUUCCAAUCGAACCGGGAUAUAGCUGGUUCUCCUCGAAAUAGCUUUAGGGCUAGCCUCAUAAAGGAGUAUCGGGGGUAGAGCGCUGAAUGGGCUAGGGGCCUUCACGGGUUACCGAACCUUAUCAAACUGCGAAUACCGAAAACUUUAAUUUAUGGGAGUCAGACUGCGUGAGAUAAGUUUCGCGGUCAAAAGGGAAACAGCCCAGACCCACAGCUAAGGUCCCAAAGUGCAGGUUAAGUGGAAAAGGAUGUGUCAUUGCACAGACAACCAGGAUGUUGGCUUAGAAGCAGCCACACAUUCAAAGAGUGCGUAAUAGCUCACUGGUCGAGUGAUGUCGCGCCGAAGAUUACCGGGGCUAAAACCUGCCACCGAAGCUUGGGAAUUGUAGUAAUAUAAUUGGUAGAGGAGCAAUGUUAUCGGGAGGAAGCCGUAUCGAAAGGGGCGGUGGACUGGUAACAAGAGAGAAUGCCGGCAUAAGUAGCGAGAGAGAAGUGAGAAACUUUUCCGUCGAAAGCCUAAGGUUUCCUGGGGAAGGUUCGUCCGCCCAGGGUAAGUCGGGACCUAAGCCGAGGCCGAAAGGCGUAGGUGAUGGACACACGGUAGAUAUUCCGUGACCGUCGUACGGUUCUAUGCAGGGACACAGAAGGAUAGCCAAACCCCGCGGAUGGAAAAGCGGGGCCGUGGAGCGAGGCCGGAACGUAGUGAAGUACGCGUUCCGUUAAGGCUGGGCUCAGCGGGGACUAAUUGAUGGUAGUUGGUGAAUUCACGCUGGCGAGAAAAUCUGCGUUUGGGACAACCGUAUGAACGCCCGUACCGCAAUCCGACACAGGUAGGCGGCAAGAGAAUUGCAAGACGAACGGGAUAACCCUUGUUAAGGAACUCGGCAAAAUGACCCCGUAACUUAGGGAUAAGGGGAGCCCGGGCUAACCCCCGGGUCGCAGCGAGUAGGCCCAAGCGACUGUUUAUCUAAAACACAGGUCUCUGCGAAAGCGCAAGCUGAAGUAUAGGGGCUGACGCCUGCCCAGUGCUGGAAGGUUAAGGGGAAAUGUUAGGGGCAACCCGAAGCAUAGAACUUAAGCCCCAGUGAACGGCGGCCGUAACUAUAACGGUCCUAAGGUAGCGAAAUUCCUUGUCAGGUAAGUUCUGACCCGCAUGAAUGGCGUAACGACUUGGGCGCUGUCUCAACAAGGGGCCCG
rnacentral:rRNA from 1 species